GCCUUCGUGGUGCAAUUGGAUGCAUAAUCGACACGUAUUCGAGAGGUCCAGGGUUCGAGUCCCGGCAAGGGCG
rnacentral:tRNA from 1 species